UCUCGGCAAAUUAUCCUCAUAAGUUAGACGAUAUGAAGAACCAUUUAAUUGUAUAUCUUAUUUGUUCAUAGCCAGUUUUAAUAUUACAGGCAACAAACAAAUAAGAUAAUUAGUGGUGUCACAAAAUCGGAGGCCCCGACUGUUUACUUAAAACACAGCUUUCUGCCACGAUUAAUAUCUUUGUAUAGAAAGCGAAUUUUGCCCAAUGCCAUUAAUAUAAGAUUGAUAAGCGCUUAGCGUAUUUAUUGAUUGAAGUUCUGGUCAAUGGCGGUCUUAUCUAUGAGGAUCCUAAGGUAGCAAAAUUAAUUGUCCAUUAAAUGUGGUCCUGACUGAAUAAAGUAACGAUGGUCUCACUGUCUCUACAAGUAUCUCAGUGAAAUUGAAUUAGCCGUGCAGAUGCGGUUUAACUUCGGGUAGACGGGAAGACCCUAUGCACCUUCUACUGA
rnacentral:rRNA from 2 species